AAGCACCAUGUGCCAGGCACACUGGUAGCACCAUAAAUGCCUCUCCCCAAUAGCUAGUGAAAGCAAAAACCCAAAACGACAGCAGCAGAACCUGGUCUCUUAUCUUUUGAUCACAGGGGUUGAGCACUUUCCAUUCUGAAGACCUUCAGUUAAAUCCCAAUGAACCACGGUUGUGCUGCUUCAAUGUGAAUUUACCUACCCUCCUUUCUCCCAGCACUGACAUCAGAAGUGGAACAGUCACUGUUUGCUCAGUAGACAGGGUUUUGUGCCUUUCAGUCACCUCAGCUUUAGCCAAAUCUUACCUGCACAGAAAUAUGAAUCACAUCUGAGAGGGAAGAGGAGAGGAUGUGACAACAACAAAACAAAUUUUUAAAGGUAUCAGUUCCAAAUCUGAUUUAUUU